rnacentral:rRNA from 1 species
GGUCAAGCGAACAAGUGCAUGUGGUGGAUGCCUUGGCGAUCACAGGCGAUGAAGGACGCGGUAGCCUGCGAAAAGCUUCGGGGAGCUGGCAAACAAGCUUUGAUCCGGAGAUGUCCGAAUGGGGAAACCCGGCCCGAAUGGGUCAUCCCUGACUGAAUACAUAGGUCAGGGAAGCGAACGCGGCGAACUGAAACAUCUAAGUAGCUGCAGGAACAGAAAUCAACCGAGAUUCCCAGAGUAGUGGCGAACGAAAUGGGAAGAGCCUUGUACUCUUUAGCAGCAUUGUUAGCAGAACGGGAUGGAAAGCCCGGCCAUAGCAGGUGAUAGCCCUGUAUGCGAAAACAGCGUUGUGGAACUAGGUGUACGACAAGUAGGGCGGGACACGUGAAAUCCUGUCUGAAGAUGGGGGGACCAUCCUCCAAGGCUAAAUACUCGUGAUCGACCGAUAGUGAACCAGUACCGUGAGGGAAAGGCGAAAAGAACCCCGGGAGGGGAGUGAAAUAGAUCCUGAAACCGCAUGCAUACAAACAGUCGGAGCCUGGAAACGGGUGACGGCGUACCUUUUGUAUAAUGGGUCAGCGACUUACAUUCAGUGGCAAGCUUAACCGAUUAGGGAAGGCGUAGCGAAAGCGAGUCCGAAUAGGGCGUUCAGUCGCUGGGUGUAGACCCGAAACCAGAUGAUCUAUCCAUGGCCAGGUUGAAGGUGCGGUAACACGUACUGGAGGACCGAACCCACUAACGUUGAAAAGUUAGGGGAUGAGCUGUGGAUAGGGGUGAAAGGCUAAACAAAUCUGGAAAUAGCUGGUUCUCUCCGAAAACUAUUUAGGUAGUGCCUCGUGUCUCACCUUCGGGGGUAGAGCACUGUCAUGGUUGGGGGGUCUAUUGCUGAUUACCCCGCCAUAGCAAACUCCGAAUACCGAAGAGUGCAAUCACGGGAGACAGACAUCGGGUGCUAACGUCCGGUGUCAAGAGGGAAACAACCCAGACCGCCAGCUAAGGUCCCCAAAUAUAGCUAAGUGGGAAACGAAGUGGGAAGGCUAAAACAGUCAGGAGGUUGGCUUAGAAGCAGCCACCCUUUAAAGAAAGCGUAAUAGCUCACUGAUCGAGUCGUCCUGCGCGGAAGAUGUAACGGGGCUAAGCUAUAUACCGAAGCUGCGGACGCACAGCAAUGUGCGUGGUAGGAGAGCGUUCCGUAAGCCUGUGAAGGUGUCUUGUAAAGGAUGCUGGAGGUAUCGGAAGUGCGAAUGCUGACAUGAGUAGCGAUAAAGGGGGUGAAAGGCCCCCUCGCCGUAAGCCCAAGGUUUCCUACGCAACGUUCAUCGGCGUAGGGUGAGUCGGCCCCUAAGGCGAGGCAGAGAUGCGUAGCUGAUGGGAAGCAGGUUAAUAUUCCUGCACCGUCGUAUGAUGCGAUGGGGGGACGGAUCGCGGAAGGUUGUCCGGGUGUUGGAAGUCCCGGUCCCUGCAUUGGAGAAGGCGCUUAGGCAAAUCCGGGCGCGGGAUUCAAGAGUGUGGGGCGAGCGGCCUAGUGCUGCGAAGCAAUUGGAAGUGGUUCCAAGAAAAGCCUCUAAGCUUCAGUCAUACGAGACCGUACCGCAAACCGACACAGGUGGGCGAGAUGAGUAUUCUAAGGCGCUUGAGAGAACUCGGGAGAAGGAACUCGGCAAAUUGGUACCGUAACUUCGGGAUAAGGUACGCCCUGGUAGCUUGACUGGCCUGCGCCAGAAGGGUGAAGGGGUUGCCCACACUGUCUCCUCCCGAGACUCAGCGAAGUUGAAGUGUUUGUGAUGAUGCAAUCUCCCCGCGGCUAGACGGAAAGACCCCAUGAACCUUUACUGUAGCUUUGCAUUGGACUUUGAACCGAUCUGUGUAGGAUAGGUGGGAGGCUUUGAAGCGUGGACGCUAGUUCACGUGGAGCCGUCCUUGAAAUACCACCCUGGUUUGUUUGAGGUUCUAACCUUGGCCCGUGAAUCCGGGUCGGGGACAGUGCAUGGUAGGCAGUUUGACUGGGGCGGUCUCCUCCCAAAGUGUAACGGAGGAGUUCGAAGGUACGCUUGGUACGGUCGGACAUCGUACCUAAAGUGCAAUGGCAAAAGCGUGCUUAACUGCGAGACCGACAAGUCGAGCAGGUGCGAAAGCAGGACAUAGUGAUCCGGUGGUUCUGAAUGGAAGGGCCAUCGCUCAACGGAUAAAAGGUACUCUGGGGAUAACAGGCUGAUACCGCCCAAGAGUUCAUAUCGACGGCGGUGUUUGGCACCUCGAUGUCGGCUCAUCUCAUCCUGGGGCUGUAGCCGGUCCCAAGGGUAUGGCUGUUCGCCAUUUAAAGAGGUACGUGAGCUGGGUUUAAAACGUCGUGAGACAGUUUGGUCCCUAUCUGCCGUGGGCGUGGAAUCUUGACGGGGGCUGCUCCUAGUACGAGAGGACCGGAGUGGACGUACCGCUGGUGUACCUGUUGUCUCGCCAGAGGCAUCGCAGGGUAGCUAUGUACGGAAGAGAUAACCGCUGAAAGCAUCUAAGCGGGAAACUCGCCUGAAGAUGAGGAUUCCCUGGAGGCUUGACCUCCUUGAAGGGUCGUUCGAGACCAGGACGUGAUAGGCUGGGUGUGGAAGCGCAGUAAUGCGUUAAGCUAACCAGUACUAAUUGCCCGUAAGGCUUGAUCCU